UACGUAGGGGCAAGCGUUGUCCGGAUUUAUUGGGCGUAAAGAGCGUGUAGGCGGCUAGGUAGGUCCGUUGUGAAAACUCGAGGCUCAACCUCGAGACGCCGAUGGAAACCAUCUGGCUAGAGUCCGGAAGAGGAGAGUGGAAUUCCUGGUGGUAGCGGUGAAAUGCGCAGAUAUCAGGAAGAACACCCGUGGCUAAGGCGGCUCUCUAGUACGGUACUGACGCUGAGACGCGAAAGCGUGGGGAGCGAACAGG
rnacentral:rRNA from 1 species